rnacentral:rRNA from 1 species
UUAUAAGUAAAUUUAAUUAUUAAUAAGAAAUUAAAUGAAAUCAUUAAAUUUAGAAAAUUUGGCGGUAUUUUAAAUAGUUAGAGGAAUUUGUUAAUUAAAUGAUAAUCCACGAAUGGAGUGUCCUAAUAAAAUUUUAUGUAUUGUUGUAUAAAAAUUAUUUUAUAAGAAUGAUAAUUAAUAAAUUUAAUUUAAUUUGAAUUCAAAUCAAAAUGUAGAAUUAUUAGGUUUAAAUGAAUUACAUUUUAAUUUAGUAACAGAAUUAUUUUUUUAAAAGAAUAAUGAAGAAGGAUUUAAUAGUAAGUUAAAAUAAAUUUUUAAACUGAAAUAUAAAUUAAAAUAUG